rnacentral:rRNA from 1 species
AAGUAGCAAUACUUUUGGUGGCGACCGGCGCACGGGUGAGUAACGCGUAUGCAACCUACCUAUCAGAGGGGAGUAACCCGGCGAAAGUCGGACUAAUACCGCAUAAAACAGGGACACCGCAUGGUGAUAUUUGUUAAAGAAAUUCGCUGAUAGAUGGGCAUGCGUUCCAUUAGGUAGUUGGUGAGGUAACGGCUCACCAAGCCGACGAUGGAUAGGGGAACUGAGAGGUUGGUCCCCCACACUGGUACUGAGACACGGACCAGACUCCUACGGGAGGCAGCAGUGAGGAAUAUUGGUCAAUGGGCGAGAGCCUGAACCAGCCAAGUCGCGUGAAGGAAGAAGGAUCUAUGGUUCGUAAACUUCUUUUGCAGGGGAAUAAAGUGCAGGACGUGUCCUGUUUUGUAUGUACCCUGAGAAUAAGGAUCGGCUAACUCCGUGCCAGCAGCCGCGGUAAUACGGAGGAUCCGAGCGUUAUCCGGAUUUAUUGGGUUUAAAGGGUGCGUAGGUGGUUUGAUAAGUCAGCGGUGAAAGUUUGCAGCUUAACUGUAAAAAUGCCGUUGAAACUGUCGGACUUGAGUGUAAAUGAGGUAGGCGGAAUGCGUGGUGUAGCGGUGAAAUGCUUAGAUAUCACGAAGAACUCCGAUCG